GAUGGUAACAGCUCAGUGGUAGAGCACAUGCUUAGCAUGCAUGAGGUCCUGGGUUCAAUCCCCAGUACCUCCA
rnacentral:tRNA from 1 species